AUACGGAGGGUGCAAGCGUUACUCGGAAUCACUGGGCGUAAAGCGCGCGCAGGCGGCUAUUUAAGUUGGAUGUGAAAGCCUACGGCUCAACCGUAGAACUGCAUCCAAAACUAUUUAGCUAGAGUGUGGGAGAGGAAGAUGGAAUUAGUUGUGUAGGGGUAAAAUCCGUAGAGAUAACUAGGAAUACCAAAAGCGAAGGCAAUCUUCUGGAACACUACUGACGCUGAGGCGCGAAAGCGUGGAGAGCAAACAGGAUUAGAAACCCUAGUAGUCC
rnacentral:rRNA from 1 species